AUAAUGAUAGUGUAAUAGCACAUAUUUUUGUCAAAAAUAAAGUUAUAUUUAUA
rnacentral:tRNA from 1 species